rnacentral:lncRNA from 1 species
UAUUUUAAUAAAUUAAAUUAAAAUAAUAUCAAUCAAUACAUUUUAAAUUUAAACUUAAUUAAAAAAAUAAAAAUAAGUAUUUAAAAAAGAUGUAUUCUUUUCCAACUGCUUGGUACUUCUGUAUUUUUCCAGGUUGACAGUCUCCUUGGACCUUUGGGAGGCAGUGGGGGUAUUUGGGUUUUGGAAUCAGAGGGCUGGAUUUGAAUUCUGGAUCUGUCAUUCACUACCCAUGUGACCAUGGGGAAAUUGCUGAAUUUCUCUAGGCUUCAGUAUCCUUCCCCCAAAAGAUGUGCUUGGAUUAGCUAAUCCCCAAAUUCCCUUCCAGAUUUAAAUCUAUAAUCUCUUUGGCUUCCUUCCUUUUUUUUUUUUUUCUUUUCUUUUUUUUUUUUUGCAGUGGUCUAAGAAAGGAACCUUGGAAGUAUCAAUUCCACAUUUCUUGUUCUUCAUUCAGGUCUUGGAUAUGUGGAAGCUAUGUGGGCCUUUCUGAAGUCUUUGAAAUAAUCUGCUGUCCAUUGGGGACCUGAAAGCCAAGUGGUUGGGACUUGGAGGAAGAGAUGCCCGAGAUACCAAGGCACAGGGUACAGACCUCCUUGACACACAUUUAGAUAUCCCCAUGGAAGGAUAGUCAAGCCCUCAGGACAUCACAAAUCCUAAGGACAGUGUUGAUAGUUCACCACGUUUUAGAUCUAGAAAUGGAAGGGACCAUAGAUGUUGUAUACUCCAAGCCCCUCUUUUUAUAAUAGAAGAAACUAAAACCCAGAGAAGGAAAAUGUCUUAUUAAAGGAAAAACUGGGAUUUCUACCUAGUCCUCUGACUAAAUCUAGUGCUUCUCCCACUAUUCCUUAUUUGCCUUCUUCUGGAAUAUUUAGGAUGAUGGGAGUGAGAUCCUGAGAUAGAACCCACAGCUUAGUCAGUCAAGCCAUCAAGAAACAUUUAUUAUGUGAUUACUGUACUGAAUUCAAAUCUGGUCUCAGACACUUAUUAGCUGUGUGACCCUCAGUUUCCUCAUCUGUAAAAUGAGCUGGAGAAAGAAAUGGCAAACCACUCCAGUAUCUUUGCCAAGAAAACCCCAAAAAGAGUCACAAAGAGUUAGAUACAACUGAAACAACUGAACAAUAUAUGUUUGUAUAUACAUGUUGUUGCCACUGAUAAACUGUAAGCUCCUUAAGGACAGAGGCCAUUCUUUGUACCUGAAACUUAGUAAGUACUUAAUAAAUGCUGAGUAAUUGAUUGACUUAGAGGCA